UACGGGGGGAGCAAGCGUUGUUCGGAUUUACUGGGCGUAAAGGGCGCGUAGGCGGCCACCGCAAGUCGACUGUGAAAUCUCCGGGCUUAACUCGGAAAGGUCAGCCGAUACUGCGGGGCUAGAGUGCAGAAGGGCAACUGGAAUUCUCGGUGUAGCGGUGAAAUGCGUAGAUAUCGAGAGGAACACCUGCGGCGAAGGCGGGUUGCUGGGCUGACACUGACGCUGAGGCGCGAAAGCUAGGGGAGCGAACGGG
rnacentral:rRNA from 1 species